UACGGGGGGAGCAAGCGUUGUUCGGAUUUACUGGGCGUAAAGGGCGCGUAGGCGGCCAGCGCAAGUCGGUUGUGAAAUCUCCGGGCUUAACUCGGAAAGGUCAACUGAUACUGCGCGGCUAGAGUGCAGAAGGGGCAACUGGAAUUCUCGGUGUAGCGGUGAAAUGCGUAGAUAUCGAGAGGAACACCUGCGGCGAAGGCGGGUCUCUGGACAGUUCCUGACACUGAGACACGAAGGCCAGGGGAGCAAACGGG
rnacentral:rRNA from 1 species